rnacentral:rRNA from 1 species
UACGGGGGGGGGCAAGCGUUGUUCGGAAUUACUGGGCGUAAAGAGCUCGUAGGCGGUUUGUUGCGUCGGCUGUGAAAUCCCGAGGCUCAACCUCGGGUCUGCAGUCGAUACGAGCAAACUAGAGUGUUGCAGGGGAGACUGGAAUUCCUGGUGUAGCGGUGAAAUGCGCAGAUAUCAGGAGGAACACCGGUGGCGAAGGCGGGUCUCUGGGCAACAACUGACGCUGAGGAGCGAAAGCGUGGGGAGCGAACAGG